AAAUGUGAAUCCAGUGGUGAAUCUGCCAGUUUCCUUGCUUGCUUGUGGGACAUGCCCACCCCCCUCCCACAACUGUCAAGUUCUGUGUUGUGUCAAGGAUUCGUUGAACACUCAGGACUCCAAAGGUGGUACAAAUCCCAUCCUCCCAGUGAAGGAAUCAUCAAUGGCCCCAUUUUGCAUGGGGAGACUCCCAUUUCUUUUUCUCAUGCUGAUGUGUGAAAAAUAAGAAGUGAUCCUCUGAUUGAAUCAGAGUCAUUGUUGGAGAGCCUGAAUGGUCAUCAUAGGAACCUCCAUAACUUGGACUGCUACAUGUCCCAUGAAUAUAGAGGAAGAAAGUCAAGCGAGCACAAGAAGCUGCUGAGCUGGGAGCACACAUCCAGCUUGAACUGUGGUGGAACUUAUGACACCGGGGCACUGGUACUGAUAUUUAUGCUCCAGAGAGAAGCCUGUUCCUUAGAAACCAGGCCAUGAUCAACUGCAAGAUAUACCUUGAGUGCAAAGAAGUGCAGAUAUGAGAAAAAUACAUCCUAUAAACCUGAAGUAUA